rnacentral:rRNA from 1 species
UAGGCGUAAAUGAUGCGAGUUAAGUGUGGGGCAUCUACGAGAUGGCCCUGUGCUGUAGGGUAGCCGUUAAACUCGCUGCCUGGGGAGUACGGUCGCAAGGCUGAAACUUAAAGGAAUUGGCGGGGGAGCACUACAACGGGUGGAGCCUGCGGUUUAAUUGGACUCAACGCCGGAAAACUCACCGGGGGCGACAGCAAUAUGAAGGCCAAGCUGAAGACUUUGCCGGAUUAGCUGAGAGGAGGUGCAUGGCGUAGUCGUGU